GGGAUAACAGGCUGAUACCGCCCAAGAGUUCAUAUCGACGGCGGUGUUUGGCACCUCGAUGUCGGCUCAUCACAUCCUGGGGCUGAAGUAGGUCCCAAGGGUACGGCUGUUCGCCGUUUAAAGUGGUACGCGAGCUGGGUUUAGAACGUCGUGAGACAGUUCGGUCCCUAUCUGCCAUGGGCGUAGGAAAAUUGAGAGGGUUUGCUUCUAGUACGAGAGGACCGAAGUGAACGCACCGCUGGUGUUCGGGUUGUGAUGCCAAUUGCAUUGCCCGGUAGCUACGUGCGGAAUAGAUAAGUGCUGAAAGCAUCUAAGUACGAAACUAGCCUCGAGAUGAGUUUUCCCUGAAGAGAUUCAGUAAGGUCCGUUUGAGACUAAGACGUAGAUAGGUCAGGUGUGUAAGUGUAGUGAUACAUUGAGCUAACUGAUACUAAUGAACCGAGAGUCUUAACCUUACAACUC
rnacentral:rRNA from 1 species